CUAAAUGCUAUGAAGGAAAGAGUAAUAAAUGAAAAUAUCUAAAGAGAGUCGGGGAAGGUGAAAGCCGAUGAUAUGGAAAUUUAUGAACAUGGCUCCAGAGCAGGUUAUCUGAAGUAUAGUAGGAUAGCACGGUAACAACCGUUAUAUUGUAAAGUGAUAACGUAUUAUUACGAAGUCACUUAUUGAGACUUUUACUGUGAAGUGAAAGUGAAUUAGAGUGGUACAGCGAAUUUUACGCCUCUAUA
rnacentral:ncRNA from 1 species